CAGGAACUUGUGCACGAGAAUCCUAUGUUUGUAAGGAUAACAGGGGUGGUGCUGAAGGAACAGCUUGGGGGUGACACGAUGAUUGACCAUGAGCUGAUGUCUGUCAUUAUCCAUAGGUGUUGCCAGGCUAACCAGGAAGCCGAUGAAGAAUCGCCCUACCUAACAUGGAGGCACCAACUUCAACACGAUUUCUCGACAUUGGUGCUCACUACGGGGACAAGCUGAAGCUCCCCAUUACAAAGCACAACAUAUGAAAAUCAAUAUGCGAAGCCCUGCACGAAUGCAUGAAGCUACAGGGCAAUUUCUGCCCCCUCACCCGUGAGGC
rnacentral:rRNA from 1 species